GUUUUCUCUCGCUUCGACAGCACAUAUACUAAAAUUGGAAUGAGAUAGAGAAAAUUAGCAUGGCCCCUGUGCAAGUUUGUAAAGCGUUUCAUAGGUUUUGAAAUAUAAAU